UACAGAGACUGCAAGCGUUAUUCGGAUUCACUGGGCGUAAAGGGUGCGCAGGCGGUCGGGUGUGUCAGAUGUGAAAUCCCGAGGCUCAACCUCGGAACUGCGUCUGAAACUACUCGACUAGAGUACUGGAGAGGGAAACGGAAUUCACGGUGUAGCAGUGAAAUGCGUAGAUAUCGUGAGGAACACCAGAGGCGAAGGCGGUUUCCUGGACAGUUACUGACGCUCAGGCACGAAAGCAUGGGGGAGCAAAAGGG
rnacentral:rRNA from 1 species